UUUCCUUUAAUCUUUUCAUAAACUAAAAAAGACACAUGAAUAGAGAUACUGGAAAAAAAAUAAUAAAAAUUUCUUAAAAAUUCAGGAAUAGAAAUUGUUCAUUAGCUUUUCUUAAGUGGUUAGGUUUACAGGUCACAUUAAUCAAUAUUUGGUUUCAUAGCAGAUGUGGAGGAAGUGAAAAGUCUGGAUUCCAAAAGAACCCAAGAAUAUGAAAAAGUAUCACAUUUCACCUGCAUGGAAAAGAAUGGAGCAGGAAAAAGGUUUAUGUAUAUCUCAAAGCAAUAAUGUUGAAAAAACACAACUGAAGUCAUCAAAAUCACUGUUGAGAAACCAGAUUUGAAUAAUGCUUCAAGUUUUCUUAAUUAAGUUUCAACAUCACAAAGUUAGGAGUAAUGAAUACACAUCUUAGUAUGUAAGUGUGAUCUAGCAUCCCACUUGGUGGGGGAGCACCUUUAAAAUCACAUAGGUAAGUGCAUAUCUGUACAUAUCUGUGCACAAAGGCAUGCCUUUCAUCUCUCCCCUCCACCCUGCAUCUCUUUCUUUUUCUCGUACAAAGUACAAAGCUUAGCUUUUUAUAUAUUUUGCAGAAAACCUUUUGUACCUUUUGUUCAUUCAACAGAUAUUUACUGAACUCUCUCUGAGGGCUGACCUCUCUGCUAGGUACAGUGAGAAAUAUAAAGAAGAGUUUGGCAAUGGGAGUAAAGAAACCCAAAAUGAGGAAAACUACUAAAAAUGAGAAGAAGAAAAGAGGAAAAAAGGUUUUGACUGAAUACAUCUUUCAAGGUUUUAUGACAACCUUCUUUCCAAGCCCUCCUAAACUAUUCUUCACUUGCAUUCACAAAAUCGCACAGCUGCAUGCUUGGAGCCAUGUCUGCCUAUUUCCAAUGGGGUUGACUGUGUAACACAAUUACAGAUAUCCUACUAAUAAUUUGAAUCAGUUGUUUACCAGUGCAGUUAUUUUAAGGCUGGCUUGUGACUGCUGCUGGCAGGUUGGUGAGCAGAGGAAAACAGGAAAUGAACUAAAUCAUUUAUUAACAUUGAAAAUAACAUAUUGAAAGGUGUUGGGUCCUGGGGUAAAUAGCACUUGGCUCCUGCAAAUGAGGGAAUGGGGAUUUUCCAAAUAAAGGGCUUACCUGAAAGAAUUUUCCAAAUUUUGAUGUCAUGGAAAAACACUAAUUCCAAACUAAUUUUAACAAUUGUCGAACGUGUCCUCUAGAAGACAUGUAAUUACUAAGAACUAUGACAUGAACACCUUCAUUCAAAAUUACUGCAGUACUCAUGCCUUGAGUAUAUCCUGAAAAUAAAAGAGAAAGAAAAUAAAAAAUAUUUAUUCUCUUUCAUGCACUAACCAUAUGCCUCCAUAUUGUGCAUCUACCAUAUGCCAACCCCAGUCAUAGAUAUUUUUACAAACACCAUGUUAUCUACAUGUCACAACAAACCUCUGAGUUAGAAUCACCACUACACAAAUGGGGAAAAAUAGAGGCUUGGAGAAGCCAAGUAACUUGACUGAGGUCUCACAGCUUACAGAUAACGGAGCUUGUGCCUGACACCAGGGUCCAUGUCUUUCCAUCAAAUUGCAUGGUUGCCCUCACUCAAAGUACUCAUUCCAAUAAGGGGGUUUAUGUUAGCAAGUAGAGCAUUUUGGGAUUAAAAUUUGUUUUUCUAAUUAAAUAACAAAUCAUUUUAAUUCAGUCUGAUAAGUUAUGCAUUAAUCAAUCGUAUUUUUCUUGGAAUAUAUAUUGGUAUAGAGCAUUGUUGGAGACAGAAAAAUAUAUUGCUUGGGCAUGACUUGCUGCCCUGCCAUUUCCUUUAUGCUGGGACUGUACCCUGCUGUGGGAAUAAGCACUGAGUGACUCAGGAAGUCAGUUGGUAGAAAGCAAGAUGAGUCUGGGAAGUUGUGAUUAAAAGGGCCACGUGUUUUAUUAUACAGAAAUAAUCACACAAUGAUGAAAAAAUUAUGAGUAAGAAUGUCCAGAGAAGUAUAAUUUAUAGUGACAAAAAUUUGGCAAUAUUUAAAUGUCCAAUGCAGGUGACUGGAUAAAUAAAGCUUGUUUGUACAAUGCCAACAGUUUCAGUGCUUAGAAAUAGUGAUGAGUUGAAGGGCGAGGGAUACCUGGGGGUUCAUCAUAGUAUCCUGUUUUGCAUUUGUAUCCUGUAUUUGGAAUUUCCCUUUAUUAAGGGAAAUUAAUAAGAUGUUUUAAUUUCAUUUAAUUUAAAGGCUGUUUUAAAUGAUGAUAUAUGUAUAUUGAUGAUCUUAGAAAUAUUUUUUGUAAUAUCUUAUUAUGUGGAAAAAG
rnacentral:lncRNA from 10 species